GACGAACCGUGCGAACGUUAUUCGGAAUCACUGGGCUUAAAGGGAGCGUAGGCGGGCUAUCAAGUCUGGGGUGAAAUCCCACGGCUCAACCGUGGAACUGCCUUAGAUACUGACGGCCUCGAGGGAGAUAGGGGCAUGCGGAACUGUAGGUGGAGCGGUGAAAUGCGUUGAUAUCUAACAGGAACUCCGGUGGCGAAAGCGGCGUGCUGGAUCUCUUCUGACGCUGAGGCUCGAAAGCUAGGGGAGCAAACGGG
rnacentral:rRNA from 1 species